CUUCAAUGGCUCUGGUAUGAUAGAAAGGACAACACUUCCUUGGCGUUUUCAUCAUCUACAAGAGAUUCACUUCUACUCGGAAUAAACUUAUUUGAUUUUAGUAAAGUGAACUCUGAUCCAUGCAAGAAAGUUGGCAUGUCUUCUGUUCGUAAGAUUAAGUUUACCACAUGCUCUGAGAACCAGUUUACAUGCAAUGAUGGACAGUGUAUUGAUAUGGAUAAUAGGUGUGAUCAAACCACAAACUGUCUGGAUGAAUCUGAUGAAGAAUUAUGCAAAAUUAUCUUUUUAAAAGACAAUUACAAAGAUACUAUUGUACCAUUCAGGCAAUAUUUUUCCAAUUUAAGGGAACGCAGUUUCAAGUGACUCUCCAUAUUUAAGUGGCAUUAUAGAAUAACAAUUCUGCCUGAACACUUUGUCUGCAUAAGAAUGCAUGAGGCAUAGAUUAAUUAAAAUCUAAAAAUU